UACAGAGGUCUCAAGCGUUGUUCGGAUUCACUGGGCGUAAAGGGUGCGUAGGUGGCUGGAAAAGUUUGAUGUGAAAGCUCAGGGCUUAACCCUGAAAUGGCAUUGAAUACUGUCGAGCUGGAGGUUUGGAGGGGGGGACUGGAAUUCCUGGUGUAGCGGUGGAAUGCGCAGAUAUCAGGAGGAACACCGGUGGCGAAGGCGGCUACCUGGGACAAUUGCUGACGCUCAGGCACGAAAGCGUGGGGAGCAAAAGGG
rnacentral:rRNA from 1 species